AUACGUAGGUCCCAAGCGUUGCGCGAUCUCACUGGGCGUAAAGCGUCCCCAGCCGGUCCGGUAAGCGGAUUGUCAAAACCCGCGGCUCAACCGCGGUAGGGCAACCCGAACUGCCGGACUUGAGGCAAGCCCAGGCAGGCGGAAUUCCCGGUGUAGCGGUGAAAUGCGUAGAUAACGGGAGGAACACCAAAGGGGAAGCCAGCCUGCUGGGGCUGCCCUGACGGUCACGGACGAAAGCUGGGGGAGCAAACCGGAUUAGAAACCCUAGUAGUCC
rnacentral:rRNA from 1 species